UACGUAGGGGGCGAGCGUUGUCCGGAUUUAUUGGGCGUAAAGAGCUCGUAGGCGGUUUGGUUAGUCGGAUGUGAAAUCUCCAGGCUCAACUUGGAGGGGUCAUCCGAUACUGCCAUGACUAGAGUUCGGUAGAGGAGUGUGGAAUUCCUGGUGGAGCGGUGAAAUGCGCAGAGAUCAGGAGGAACACCCGUAGCGAAGGCGGCACUCUGGGCCGAUACUGACGCUGAGGAGCGAAAGCAUGGGUAGCAAACAGG
rnacentral:rRNA from 1 species